CGAGUCGAUUCGCUGCUAAUCGAGACGCGUCGAGACCGAGAAUCACAGUUAAUCACAACUCGUCGCUAUUAAAUGUGCGAUACACUUUAUAGCGUGACACGCGCGUUUUGUUUAUUUACAAUAAGCGAUCGUCGGCUAUUCAUCGGCAUUGCGGUUCAUCGGCUAUUCGUUACUUGGACAUUUCCCCGUGCGCGGACAAUGUGGGCGAAUCGCUCGUUUCGGAGUGAUGAAAGAUUUGAGCUUUGGUGCAAUCCGAGGUGCUGUUAAAACAAUAGUUACCGCGUACGAGCACAAUGGGACAAUAAUUUACUAUUCCUUGUUACCCUUGAAAUGCGAACACAUGGCGCGAGGCAUCCGCGACAUCGGCAGGUACCGCUGCGUUAUGUUCGCGAGCCGUCGGCGGGAGUUGCGUAAUCGCCAUAACCUAACCUACAACUCAAUCGUUUAUUGUUUGUAAGGAUCGUAUUUGGCGUCUCGUAGUACUCGACGACGUCCAAAGUAAUAAUGCGAUGACACACGGAGCAUCUCGCGCCUGUUCUCUAUUCGAUCUCCAAUCUCAUCAAGGAAAUAACAACCAAUGUUGCAAGACAUAUACAUAUAUUUUACAAUAACGAUCAGAGUUGGGAACGAAUACAUAAGCAUGUAGAUACAGUAACUAGAUACUUGUAGUUGGACACUGAUUACAACACUGAUAACAACAAUCGCUUGUGUAUGUAUGUACAAUGGCACGCUGCACAAAACGGGAAAAAAAACAGACGCCGAGCAUUAAAUAAACAGCCAAACUGCAUUGUUGGGAAAUAUAUAAACAUGGAUGAAAUAUAUGAAAUAAUAUACGUCGAGUGUACCUUGUUCCAUUAGUCGUGUUAUUAAAUGCAAGGUGUUACGCAGAGUGUAUUCGAAUACAAGCGAUGUUAAACGAGCGAUUAUCACACAUUAAUAUCGCUGUAUAAUAAGAAACAAUUUACAGCCCCCUUUCUCCUGGAGCAACAAACCAACGACGCGAGAUACCUGCGACGAUCGACAAAUAGCCAACGUCUCAAUACAUUCAUAUACGUCGUCAAUCAUGGGAUUUAAAUAAUCACAUAAGCUGCAGUCGCUAAUACGGAAUAAUCACGCAUUCGAUCUCUUGACUCGGGUCGCGUCUCGAGGCGUGAUAUGACGGUUGUAUGUACGCAGCAUCUUGCGUCACUGUCUAACAAGAAUCGCGUCGGGUAAAUAAUAAUAAGAUAAUACCAUGCGCGCUAUGUAAAAUAAAAAUCACAUCGCGUGUAUGUUUACCUUUGCCAAAUUGUGUGUCAUCUAAGUCUAACGUGCGUGAAAUUUUCUGCACAAUUUUUAAAUUCUCCGUCUGCUACUUAAAAUCGUUUACUGUGACAGUAUACGGGAUAUCGCGAGUACUGAACGAAUCGUUGCUUGGCGCGAUCGUACUUAAUCUUCUGUUGUGCAAUAAACACACGAUUAUCGUCGGGAAUGUAAGUGUCGUAUGAUUAUUUUGCGUGCGUCGCGAGUGUAUGUACUGAGUUAAUGAAACGAAAGGACCCGAGAGAAAGAGAAGGGACCUAGGAGCAUCGGGGCAAGGAAAGGACCUGAGAGGAGGAGACCUAGGAACAUCAGGCGACAUCGCAAUUGUAGGACGCCGUGGUGGAAGGGUCCGGGUCCAGACCGCAUCUCGUCGAGGGACAAACCGCGACGGAGCCGAGACAGCUCGUGACCAAAACAGACGUGGACCAAGGAUGACGGGGAGGGAGCUAACAGUUGCAAAAUCCAACGGUCAAGGAGAAGAUAUAAUUACAAGUUGCGUUUUCAUGAAAUUCCCGAGACGAUGGCGGUAUUGACCAAUAAGAGGCAGCAUAACCAUCACGGAGGACCGGAUCGAUAUUCAAGAAUCAGCCACGUGAUAUCACAUAAUUAGCAUUAACAUCCCGGAUCGACGCUUUGAGCGACAACGGCGUGCCCGCGGGUAGCCGCGCGCGCGUGCACGUUUCCGUAGGAUGCAAUUAUUCGACGCCUCUUGCAGAAGCGAGCGCAUGAAUUAUUCGGCGAAUAAGCUCGAGGCUCGUUAACUCGCGAAACGGAACGGAGACCAUCGACAAUCACGAUGUCAAAGCAGGGGGCAGGUGCCGGCGGUGCGACGCGUACGACUUCCGGCGCGCCGCUCGCACUCGCGCGGCACCGCGCUUAUGCACUUGUUGCACAAUCUGCCUAACGAUCUCUCGAGCUCGCGAGCACAGAUUAAUAAUCACGACCCGUAGUCCCGAGUCCUUACGAGAGACGCGCGCGCACGGUCCGGCGCGGAAUCCUAUUUAAAAAUAAUUGCGUUACCCACUCGCUCGCCCGGUAGUUUCCUGUGCUUGAUUACGGCUAAUUGUUCGGGAUUUACAAGUAUAAUGGCGCGUUUAAUGCGGCGACUUACGUGACGGCCCUGAGACCGACUGUGUGUCGCCCCGCAGACAACUGCGCGAUUCUCAGUGCGAGCGAAAAAAAUUAUCUCCCUUCCUUCCCGUGGCGACGCGUCCACGAGUUUCCCUCCACGGGACUGUGACGAAACGAUCGUCGGACGAGCGCGACUGACUUUAGAAUUGCAAAGUAGUAUAAUUAUGCGAGAAGGAAUUGACUUGACUGCAGCCGUGUGAGAAGAGCACAUCGGAAAUAAAAUUAUGUAUCGGCGAAGAGAAGAAUAAGCGUUUUGUUUUUAAAGUGCUUCCGGGAUGUUCAAGCUGCUUGUGGUACUGCGACAUUUUUGGCAAUGGCGAGAAUAAUGAUAAUUAUAUAAUCUCGAAUCGAGAGAUCGUUUGUUUUCCGCAUAUGCGAUAUUUAUUUGAUACUAAUUAUUUUUCUUAAAUUUCCUUCCUGCGUUUUCUCCUUUAAAGCUAUGUGGUUUCGGCUUGUGUCGUUCUCUCUCUCUCUCUCUCUCUCUCUCUCUCUCUCUCUCUCUCUCUCUCUCUCCCUCUUUUUCUCUCUGUAUGCUUUAUAUAAUAACGAUAACACACGAGUAGACAAACGACGCUUUGAUGCGAACUCAACGGAUCCAAAUCACCGAAACGCAUUGACCUUUCAACUCGGGACUUUGAUUUAAAACCCGGAAUUAGUUGGGAGCGAUUCCCCGUUUCCAAAGCUCUCGGCUUUCUGUCUCUCUCCCGCUCUCUCUCUUUCUCUUCCAAAUCGUCACAGCGCGCGGAACGUCUUUAUGAAUGUACAUUUGGACAUUUUCGCAAUUCGUUUGAACUAUCAGCGAAAUGACUAUUCGUUACCGUAUCGGUGGAAGUGAAUAAACGCCACUCGCUAGAUAACGCAGGAAAAGAGAGAGAGAGAGAGAGAGAAAAUGAGAAAGAUAGAGUGAUAAAACGAAAAGAACAUAGAGAAUCGGAGGCCACCGCCAAUCUGUCGCUGGUUGCAUUAGUCCGGGAGAGGAGAAGGAGGGUUAGCUUUUCAAAAGCCCACGUUUGAUGAAGCACACUCACUCUCAUCCCCCUUCCUUUUUCCGUCUCUCUCUCUCUCUCUCUCUCUCUCUCUCUCUCUCUCUCUCACGCGACGGUGCGUCCAGAUACUUUUAAAGUAAAUUAGCUUUUUAGUUUUCUGUGCCUAAAACCGGGGGAAUAUUCAACAUGUACAUAUAAAAGGGAAGAAGGGCUUGCUCGAAUCGCCUGCCGGAGGGUUCAACUGCCUCAAUGUCUGAAUGGACUCUUCCUCUUUCUCUCUUCUCUCACUCCCGUUCAGUCUCGUAUUCACCCACACCUCCGACUUAUUCGCGUGUAUACGCGCGUGUCCAGGUCAGACGAAACGCGUGUAUUUCUCCGCCGUAUAUACGUCUGAAUGCCCAAAAACACAAAGUGCAUCGGCAGAGAGAAGAGUGGUCUCCGCCCGCGCGUUAAUCCACGUGAAAGACCAACCAUGCGGCCGCGCCCCGAAGCGACGAUCGCUUUUGCCAACUGGCGUUGACUCUUUGCCGUCGGAAAAAAGGACGGAGUCGUUUCUUUCUCGGCGCGAGACAACCGCCCGGGGAAAAACUCAGCUUUCUGUGUGAAACGCGUGUACAGAGAUGUCUGUGUAGAAAUCUUUUCGAAAAGAGAAACAAGCAUUUUGAAAAAGAAGUGUGGUAUACAUUAUUAUGAAAAAUAUAAGAAGAAACGUAUUGCUACAGCACAAUAAAGUCAAUUUUUGUCUUUUAAUUUGUCGCGAAAAUAUUAAAAUCAGCAUAUGAAGCUUACAAUUAAACAUAUAAUAAGUUAUUACGAGAACGGUUAGUGAAAGUGUAAAACAUUGUGAACAAUGUUAAAUGAAAAUUGACGGAUAUCUCAACAAUACAAUUAACAAAUAAAGUUUGACUUUAUUCGGUCAAACCUUGAUACUUAAAAAUAUUUUCUGCGCAAAUCUUACAAUUUCUAGUAGUAAAAUACUACAAUAGAAUACAAAAUCAAGUAAUUAAGGUUUAAAAUAGUUUCCAUCGAUAAUAACAUUAUUUUUAGAUAUUAAUAGUAAUUUGACUUUUUAUCAAGCAGAAUAUGUACUAUUACAGCUGAAAGUAUUAUGUUUUACUAGCAGAAAAAUGCAAAUUAAUACGUUCGUAAAGUUGAACAAUAAUAAUUUACAGCACUAGAAAUUUAUUAGUAGCUUUAUAUGCUGAUUUUGUUAGUAACUUUAUUAAUAACUUAUAUACUGAUUUUAAUUCUCUCUCAACAAAUUAAAAUUUUUUGAAAGACGGAAUCAGAUUCAACAGCUCAAAUCUAUGAAACGAUAUACCGCUUUUACUUGCCACUACAAAGGUAAAAAUUAGCUCAUUUUACUCAUCGUCCUUUGCCAGAAGUUUAUUGGCGAAAACUCAUGAUUGAAUUACCAAACAAAAUUCUUUCGGGGCGUAGAAGUGUAGGCAAAGUUGCCACAGCUAUUGAAUUUAUCUCUCAAACUGAUUUCAUUGUAUUACAGGGGGAGGGUUAUGUAAAUUGAUGAAAUGGAGAUCAAGCCGGAUGAAAUUGAGUUACACCCGGCCGGGGAAUGCGCAAUUUAUUGCAAAAAUAUUCGUUUUUAAUAUGGCGCAGCGAAAACUGUAGCGCGAGAAAUGUACACGCCACGAUAUUUAUAUAUCAAAUAUGUGUUUUUUACAUUUAAUUGCCUGGCGCGAAUUGAUCGCGGAGUCGAAAGAACAAUUCGUUUGCGAAAAAUGCCAAGCGUGGUUUGGUAUUCGUUUUUUUUCCUUUUUUUUUAUUAUUACAACCACUAGCAAAUACGUCAGUUUUAUACUUGAGGAUGGACACAAGAAUUAUUUGUAACCUGCUUGUUGUACAAUGCUAAAAUACAAUGUUUCCUACUCGAUUUUAUGAUAAAGAAAAAUAUAUUAAACAAUUUUAAUGUAUUAUGUAAACGUAAAACUACAUUGAUUGUAAUUCGUAAAGAUGUGAAUAAUUUUUUUUCCUGCACAUAUAAUUUGCUAACAAAAGAUUUUUAAAAAAGUAUGUCAAUGUUUAAUGACAAAAAAUAAAUAGAUUAAGGCUAAAUCUACUGAAGCUAUCGAUUCUGGAAAUUGCAAAUAUUCUAUAUUUAUAUCCAUACUUUUUAUUUUUACAUCUAAAUAUUAAAUAUUAUUCUCUUUUCUUGAGAGAAAUAAACUGAAUAUUAUCUUUGAUAUCCAAAUCAAAUACCUAUUCGUUUUACAGUUGAACGAUUAAUAAAGUUAUUUAUUAAACGAUUUGGCGUAAAAAUGUUUCGUACUUUCUCACUACAAUUGCGAUACCUAGCAAUAUCGCUUUAUCGCGGGCGUCAUAUCGUCGCAAAGGUAGAAGCGUAAAUUCCAUAGACGAAUUACGUUUCGGGGUCCAUCGCUGACUUGACGUUUUAUAGAUUUGCCGUUCCGAGAUCGCGCGAGACUAAUUGGAUUACGCUAUCAAACUCCGGCCUCAUUACGACAGCGAUUAGUUCUCUUCGAUCUAGGAAGUGCAUGAAAUAAAGAAAGAAAGAGAGUAUAAUCCAGAUUCUAUACGCGGUCGCGUACACGAUCCAUCGGGCGAUAAAUAAUCGGGCGAAGUGGAUGAAAAAAGAGAGGAAAAAAGAAAACGAGAAAAAGGACGAAGGUUUAAAGGCAAAUACUCACGGACUCCCCGCAAGGCGACCCCGGCUGAACUUCUAGCAGACAUCGCGGGGGGUCUUCUAACGAGCCGUGCAAUUAACAUUUUUAUUAGACGGUUCCUCUCUGCCGAUCCUCUGUCCUGCUCCACAUGUGUAACCAGCGUCAGGGCCUCAUCGAUACCUCAUCUCGGCAACGCGGAACAGCUUCCUCCCGUCUGCGAAAUGGAUUUCGGUCCUCCUAAUAACGUCUAUUCAAGAAUUGAGUGAGAGAGAGAGAGAGAGAGAGAGAGAGAGAGAGUGAACAGAAUUGCUUUUUGGUCCAAAGUAAUGUCUUCUUGGAAAUGAAGAAAUAUCUUUUAUUAUAUGCGAAGAUGUUCUCCCAGCUUCUCCUCACUUCCAUUUAUCUCUCACUGAAAUCUGUUUUCAGCAAUGUCGAGACACAAAUAAUUUUCUUCCUUCGAAGCCUUAAUACACACCUAUUUUAUUUCAAAGGUAGAAAGCGUAAUCGAAACGAAUGAUAGCAAUAACGCGACGUUCGCCAGAUCGUAUGUCACUCGCGCUCGAUCCUUUCGCAGAAAAUUUUACCGAGAGAUAAUCAUCACUGUAUGUACAAAGCGCGAUUCCGCCCGCGUCUUGAAAUUAUUUCUUAAGCAUCAUAUUUGCACCUAGAGAGAGAGAGAGAGAGAGAGAGAGAGAGAGAGAGUACCGUGCAAUUUCCCGACGCAAGCGUCUCGCGCAAAGAAAAUAAACGCGAGGGCUAUCGCGGCGCGUAGGGACGCAUCGUCCAGGCCGAGCCGUUAAGUAUCGUUGCAGCGCAAUACAACGAUCGUUGCGCAUUUCAGGGCCGCGCCGUCGAUGCACCGCAGUCGGCGCGGCGUAUCAUCGGUGCGCGUUGUUACAUUGUUCGGCAUUUCUCGAUGUGCGGCAUCGGUGUGCGCUACGUGCCGUACGGUGAUUUGGCUAACCACACGUUUGUUGAACCAUCGGCGGCAUCCGGCAUUGUUUGCUCGCUUUGAUGAGGCCAAUUCGUGUUUCGCUUUUGCGUCUGCGUUCCGUGUGGGAUGCGCGAGAGAGCGCGCGCUCGCGUAUACGCGUGUGUGCAGCAGCAUAUGCGUGCAUCAGCUCGUGCGUGCGUGCGUGCGUGCGAUCGCCGCGCUGUCUGUAUACACGGCGAGAGUCUGCGUAUGUCAUUAGUGACCCCGGGGGUGACCCCGGGAUUCGCUCUCACCGUACUGGGCUAUCAACACCGACCACCGCGCACCACCGACAGAGAGGCUCCAUUAUGCGCUCCUAACGAUACCCGCCCAGCGCGCGAAAUAUUGUCGCACGCCGUCGCGUUGUUGCCCACUUUGCAGGAUAUUGCGAUGAUUCUAUUUACUUCUAUCUGAUUAACGUGAACCGAUUUCAGUAGAAGCUUCGAGCAAUUUCAGCGCCCGUUGUUUCAAAGCUUGCAGAUAAUUAUGUAUAUGUUCAAAGAAAGAGUAUUUUUAAUAUAAUUUAUAAUGAAUAUUGUAAUAAUAAUUUAAGUUUAUAAUAAACUUUUUUCUUCUA